rfam:Microgenomates (Daviesbacteria) bacterium GW2011_GWF2_38_6 TS99_C0032, whole genome shotgun sequence.
UAGGUGUCAGUGUGAACUAACACCGAGUAGAUAUUGGAAGUCUGCAGAGAUCAUAGUAGUCCGAUGUAAUAUCGGACGAAGGAU